AGAGAACUUGCUGGAUUGUAUGGUGAGAGGAUGUUUAACUUUGUAGGAAACUGUCAAAUUUUCUUCUAAGGUGAAUGUACCACUUUGCAUACUAUUGGCUGU
rnacentral:pre_miRNA from 1 species